rnacentral:rRNA from 1 species
UACAGAGGUCUCAAGCGUUGUUCGGAUUCAUUGGGCGUAAAGGGGGUGUAGGUGGCGCGCUAAGUCGGGUGUGAAAUUUCGGAGCUUAACUCCGAAACUGCAUUUGAUACUGCCUUGCUUGAGGACUGGAGAGGAGACUGGAAUUCACGGUGUAGCAGUGAAAUGCGUAGAGAUCGUGAGGAAGACCAGUGGCGAAGGCGGGUCUCUGGACAGUUCCUGACACUGAGGCACGAAGGCCAGGGGAGCAAACGGG